rnacentral:rRNA from 1 species
AUUGAACGCUAGCGGGAUGCCUUACACAUGCAAGUCGAACGGGGUGGCGAACGGGUGAGUAAUGUAUCGGAACGUGCCCAGUAGCGGGGGAUAACUACGCGAAAGCGUAGCUAAUACCGCAUACUAUUGGAGCGGCCGAUACGGGAUUGGCUAGUUGGUGGGGUAACGGCUCACCAAGGCGACGAACAGUAGCUGGUUUGAGAGGACGACCAGCCACACGUGGACUGGGACACGGACCAGACUCCUACGGGAGGCAGCAGUGGGGAACUUUGGACAAUGGGGGAAACCCUGAUCCAGCCAUCCCGCGUGUGGGAGGAAGGCCAUCGGGUUGUAAAGCACUUUUGGCAGGAAAGCGGUACCUGCAGAAUAAGCACCGGCUAACUACGUGCCAGCAGCCGCGGUAAUUC